rnacentral:rRNA from 1 species
UUGGAGGGCAAGUCUGGUGCCAGCAGCCGCGGUAAUUCCAGCUCCAAUAGCGUAUAUUAAAGUUGUUGCAGUUAAAAAGCUCGUAGUUGAAUUUCGGGAUCAAUAUAUCGGUCGUGCCUUGGUACGUACUGGUAUCAUUGGUUUCUCCUUUCUGACGAACCAUGAUGUCAUUAAUUUGGUGUUAUGGGAAGUUAGGACUGUUACUUUGAAAAAAUUAGAGUGUUUAAAGCAGGCUUUAGCUUGAAUACAUUAGCAUGGAAUAAUGAAAUAGGACGUUCGAACCUAUUUUGUUGGUUUCUAGGAUCAACGUAAUGAUUAAUAGGGAUAGUUGGGGGCAUUAGUAUUCAAUUGUCAGAGGUGAAAUUCUUGGAUUUAUUGAAGACUAACUACUGCGAGAGCAUUUGCCAAGGAUGUUUUCAUUAAUCAAGAACGAAAGUUAGGGGAUCGAAGGCGAUCAGAUACCGUCGUAGUCUUAACCAUAAACUAUGCCGACUAGGGAUCGGAUGAUGUUAAUUUUUUAAUGACUCAUUCGGCGCCUUACGGGAAAC